rnacentral:lncRNA from 1 species
AGAAAGCGAGCUGCGUCGCGGAGGCCGAGGAAGCGGGAGCGAUUGCUGGGGCUCUGGUCGCCAAGCAAAGGCGUAGUGUUGACGGUGGCUGCCGCCGUGGGCGACGAUGGGCUGUCGUUGUUCGACGACAUCGUUUCGAUUGGGGGAAUUUCGAGUUUCUGAUUUUUUUCUAAUUUUUUUGGGCGUGUCUGGGAUGAUUUUUUGGAUCUGAUUUGAUGAGGCGGCGGCGGUGGAUCUGAUCUGAU